CAGUAGCCGCGGGAAUACGUAGGUGGCAAGCGUUGUCCGGAAUUAUUGGGCGUAAAGCGCGCGCAGGCGGAUCGGUCAGUCUGUCUUAAAAGUUCGGGGCUUAACCCCGUGAUGGGAUGGAAACUGCCAAUCUAGAGUAUCGGAGAGGAAAGUGGAAUUCCUAGUGUAGCGGUGAAAUGCGUAGAUAUUAGGAAGAACACCAGUGGCGAAGGCGACUUUCUGGACGAAAACUGACGCUGAGGCGCGAAAGCCAGGGGAGCGAACGGGAUUAGAUACCCCGGUAGUCCCUGUCUCUUAUACA
rnacentral:rRNA from 1 species